rnacentral:rRNA from 1 species
CUAGCGACUUCAGAGUUUGAUCCUGGCUCAGGACGAACGCUGGCGGCGUGCCUAACACAUGCAAGUCGAGCGGGAAUUUACAAAUUGAUUCCUUCGGGAUGAUUUUUGUAAAGGAUAGCGGCGGACGGGUGAGUAACGCGUGAGUAACCUGCCCCUUAAGAGGGGGAUAACACACCGAAAGGUGUGCUAAUACCGCAUAACAUACAUUUGCCGCAUGACAGAUGUAUCAAAGAUUUAUCGCUUAAGGAUGGACUCACGUCUGAUUAGAUAGUUGGUGAGGUAACGGCUCACCAAGUCGACGAUCAGUAGCCGAACUGAGAGGUUGAUCGGCCACAUUGGGACUGAGACACGGCCCAG